rnacentral:rRNA from 1 species
GACAGAGGGUGCAAACGUUGUUCGGAAUUACUGGGCGUAAAGCGCGUGUAGGCGGCUGCGCAAGUCGGAUGUGAAAUCCCAUGGCUCAACCAUGGAAGUGCACCCGAAACUGCGUAGCUAGAGUCUCGGAGAGGAAGGCGGAAUGCUUGGUGUAGAGGUGAAAUUCGUAGAUAUCAAGCGGAACACCGGUGGCGAAGGCGGCCUUCUGGACGAUGACUGACGCUGAGGAGCGAAAGCCAGGGGAGCAAACGGG